rnacentral:rRNA from 1 species
GAUGAACGCUGGCGGCGUGCCUAAUACAUGCAAGUCGAGCGAACAGACGAGGAGCUUGCUCUUCUGACGUUAGCGGCGGACGGGUGAGUAACACGUGGAUAACCUACCUAUAAGACUGGGAUAACUUCGGGAAACCGGAUCUAAUACCGGAUAAUAUAUUGAACCUCAUUGUUCAAUAGUGAAAGACGGUCUUUCUGUCACUUAUAGAUGGAUCCGCGCCUCAUUAGCUAGUUGGUAAGGUAACGGCUUACCAAGGCAACGAUGCAUAGCCGACCUGAGAGGGUGAACGGACACACUGGAACUGAGACACGGUACAGACUCCUACGGGAGGCAGCAGUAGGGAAUCUUCCGCAAGGGGCGAAAGCGUGACGGAGCAACGCCGCGGGAGUGAUGAAGGUCUUCGGAUCGUAAAACUCUGUUAUUAGGGAAGAACAAAUGUGUAAGUAACUGUGAACAUAUUGACGGUACCUAAUCAGAAAGCCACGGCUAACUACGUG